CAAAGACAGAGCUUUUACCCUGGGCGUUUAAAAGAGAUGGGCGUUUAUUCAAGGAGGGCGUUUAAUCAAAUAUCGGACAAGUGCAGUGUACCCAAACUUGCAAGCUAGGAGAAGUCGAUUGUUCUCUAGAGAAAACAACAACAACGACUGAAAGUAUCUCAAAUGGAAGAAGCUAUCAUGUGAACAUAGACUCAGUAUCAAGACAAUAGAUGAUUCAUACUCAACAAUUGUAGAUCUAGAUCUGUAGAGCUGCAAAAUAAUACAAGAAAAUGUUGUCUAUUGCAUGCAUUGAUUUCUGCUUCCAUAUCACACAUUAUCUCAUGUUCAGUAUUAAACUCUGGAGAAGAGGUCUUGCCAUGGCUAUUUCUGCUUGGAAUAAAUGAAACCAUAGUUUUGCCAACUUUUGGGCUCCCUAAUCUUUCUUUUCACUCUUGACUGCAGCUAUCCAUCAGCUAGAUAUUCAAGAAAGCAAUACAAUGAUAGUCUUGAUCCUUUAGAGUGCCUGAUUGUACAACCAACAGACUCAGUACAGUGUAGCUUGUCAACUUUUAGCAAUGGUGAACAAUUUUAAACCACACCCCUUUUGAAUGCUUGCGGUACAUUUUUGCAUUUUUGUGUGGAAUUUCUUGAAAUGCCAUCGUUCCGAAAUUCCAGAACUGUACACGAAAA